UACUCUCCUUAUGAAACCCAACGGAUAUUCUCACCCCUACCCUCCGAAUAUUCUCCGCUUCCCGUUAUAUUCUCCCCUUCUCCCUCGCCCACCUCCUUCCUCCCCACUCUCACACUUACCCCCUCCGUUUCUCUCUUUUUGCCUCGCUUUCUUUCUCAUUUUCUGACCAACCAAACACCCCCUUUAGAUUAAAAAACAAAGAGUUUUGCGAUGAAAUUUGGAAAGAGCCUCAGUAACCAGAUAGAGGAGACGUUGCCUGAAUGGCGGGACAAGUUUCUUUCUUACAAGGGGCUUAAAAAGAAACUGAAGCUUAUUGAGCCGAAGUCCGGUGAGAGGCAGAAUAAACGGCCUAGAUUGGAUGAAAAUUUUGGUGAUGUUGUCGAUGCCGGAGAUAAGGUCGGUGACGGCAUGUCGAGAGAGGAGAGCGAUUUCAUUAGGCUUUUGGAAGAUGAGCUCGAGAAAUUCAACACGUUUUUUGUUGAGAAAGAGGAAGAAUACAUCAUUAGAUUGAAGGAAUUACAAGACAGUGUGGCAGAGGCGAAGGCUUCUAAUGAAGAGUUGACGAACAUUAGGAAAGAGAUAGUGGACUUCCAUGGAGAGAUGGUUUUGUUAGAGAAUUAUAGCGCCCUUAACUACACAGGAUUGGUGAAAAUACUGAAGAAGUAUGACAAAAGAACUGGUGCUUUGAUCCGCUUGCCUUUCAUCCAAAGGGUCUUGCAACAGCCCUUCUUCACUACAGACUUGCUUUAUAAGCUUGUAAAGGAGUGCGAGGCAAUGCUAGAUCAUCUAUUCCCCAAGAAUGAAAAGCCAGCUUCAACUGAAGCAAAGAACGGGGAUGCUAGCAGGGAUGGAGAGGAUGAUGGGUGUGAUCCUUCAACGUCGUCUACCUCUAAGAGUGAAGAUCUGCUCAGAAUGCCCAAAGAGCUGGCAGAGAUCGAGUACAUGGAGAGCCUAUAUAUGAAAAGCACUAUAUCAGCAUUGCGUGUUUUGAAGGAAAUUCGGAGCAGAAGCUCAACUGUUAGCGUUUUUUCAUUGCCUCCAUUGCAAAUAAGCGGGUUGGACAAGACGUGGAAAAAGAUUCCUGUUCUUGAACAAGCAGCUAAAUAGAUUGAAUUUUGUAAUAGGGGAAUUGAACUAGUCUGCCCUUUGUUAUUUUGUUUCGUUUUUUGACAUUUACAUCUCAGGUGUAGCAGUUGUGUUGAGAUCAAGGAAUGAUUGGUUCUUGUACAAGUAUACGAAGUAUAUGAGUAUUGUAAGUAUCAAAUCCUCUCACAUUUCGCAACGAAAUUGUCAAGGGUGAAAUCAAGAUUGCCAUCCACGAUCGAUGCGAGUAAUCUCUCCAUGGAUGGGUCUUUUUGGAUCAAGCUCAUUAUUAUCAUAAUUAAUUGACCUCAAACGGUAUGAACUUCUUCAA